UACGAAGGGUGCAAGCGUUGCUCGGAAUUAUUGGGCGUAAAGGGUAGGUAGGUGGUAAUAAAAGUCUGGGGUGAAAUCCCUGAGCUCAACUCAGGACGUGCCUUGGAAACUAUAUUACUAGAGUGCUGGAGAGGUUCGCAGAAUUCCCGGUGUAGCGGUGAAAUGCGCAGAUAUCAGGAGGAACACCGGUGGCGAAGGCGGGUCUCUGGGCCGAAACUGACGCUGAGGAGCGAAAGCGUGGGGAGCAAACAGG
rnacentral:rRNA from 1 species